UAUAAAAAAAAACAAAAUGUUUAAUAACCUGAUUAUAGAAAGCCCUGCUCUUGAGCUGCAAGAGCUCUUAGUCUUUGUGUCAGAAUAUAAUAAGGAGGUCGACGAAAGUGAAAAUUCAAAGCGUAUCAAAACUAUGGAUGUUAGAGAUAUUAUUGAGGAGUUCUCUUUGCAUGAUAUAAACUCAAACGGUGUGAUCAGCUAUAAUGAAUUUCCAUCGCUUGCUCUAGAGUACUUGACAGAAAAUCCAAAAGAAUUAUUAAGUAGGUCCCCAAUACCGGAACUCAAACCGCUCGUUAAACUUUACGAACUCUCGAAAGCACAAAAAAAAAUCGAAUAUAAG